AGCCCAAGUUGAGGAUAUUUCUGCUGGAGAUCCGUGAACCUAUCCCAUGUUUCAAAAAGGGACUCCAAUUCUGUUUGCACAAGAGAGAAUAUUUUAUUCCUAAGUUU